GAAUUCGCCCUUGGGUGCGCAGGCGCGAAAACUUUACAAUGCGGGAAACCGUGAUAAGGGAACUCCGAGUGCCCGUAAAAUCGGGCUGUCCAUCUGUUUAAAUAACAGGUGAAGAAAGGGCCGGGCAAGACCGGUGCCAGCCGCCGCGGUAAUACCGGCGGCUCGAGUGGUGGCCACUAUUACUGGGCUUAAAGCGUUCGUAGCUGGUCUGUUAAGUCUCUGGGGAAAUCUACUGGCUUAACCAAUAGGCGUUUCAGGGAUACUGGCAGACUAGGGACCGGGAGAGGUGAGGGGUACUCCAGGGGUAGGAGUGAAAUCCUGUAAUCCUUGGGGGACCACCUGUGGCGAAGGCGCCUCACCAGAACGGCUCCGACAGUGAGGGACGAAAGCUGGGGGAGCAAACCGGAUUAGAUACCCGGGUAGUCCCAGCCGUAAACGAUGCGCGUUAGGUGUAUCGGUGACCACGAGUCACCGAGGUGCCGAAGAGAAAUCGUGAAACGUGCCGCCUGGGAAGUACGGUCGCAAGGCUGAAACUUAAAGGAAUUGGCGGGGGAGCAC
rnacentral:rRNA from 1 species